AAAGAUUAAGCCAUGCAUGUCUAAGUAUCCACUAUCUAAUCGUGAAACCGCGAAUGGCUCAUUAUAACAGCUAAAAUCUACUUGAUCUUGACACAAUCCUACUUGGAUAACUGUGGUAAUUCUAGAGCUAAUACAUGCAUUAAAGCUCUGACCUCACGGGAAGAGUGCACUUAUUAGAACAAAACCAAGCGGCUUCGGCUGUUUCUGGUUGACUCAUAGUAACUGAGCUGAUCGCACGGUCCUGCACCGGCGACGUGUCUUUCGAGUAUCUGCCGUAUCAACUUUCGAUGGUAGUGUAUCUGACUACCAUGGUGAUCACGCGUAACGGAGAAUAAGGGUUCGGCUCCGGAGAGUUCGCCUGAGAAAUCGCGAACACAUCUAAGGAAGGCAGCAGGCGCGAAAAUUACCCACUCUCAGCACGAGGAGGUAGUGACGAAAAAUAACGAGACCGUUCUCUUAUGAGGCCGGUCAUCGGAAUGGGUACAAUUUAAACCCUUUAACGAGUAUCUAUGAGAGGGCAAGUCUGGUGCCAGCAGCCGCGGUAAUUCCAGCUCUCAAAGUGCAUAGAAUUAUUGCUGCGGUUAAAAAGCUCGUAGUUGGAUCUGUGCCAUAGGACGUGGUCCACCUUCUGGGUGCGUACUAUGUUCCUAGGCUUUUUGCUGGUUUUCCCGUCGUUGCCAUAACUGGUUGCGGCGGGUGGCUGGCGAGUUUACUUUGAGAAAAUCAGAGUGCUCAACACAGGCGUAUCGCUUGAAUGAUUGUGCAUGGAAUAAUAGAAAAGGAUUUCGGUCCUCUUUUUUUGGUUUUGUGGAUUGAGAUAAUGGUUAACAGGGACCAACGGGGGCUUUCGUUUCGCUGCGUGAGAGGCGAAAUUCUU
rnacentral:rRNA from 1 species